rnacentral:misc_RNA from 1 species
GAAAUGCGAUAAGUAGUGUGAAUUGCAGAAUUUAGCGAAUCAUCGAAUCUUUGAACGCACAUUGCGCCCCUUGGUAUUCCAUGGGGCAUGCCUGUUCGAGCGUCAUUUCAACCCUCAAGCACUGCUUGGUGUUGGGCGUUUGUCCCGCCUACGCGCGUGGACUCGCCUCAAAGUCAUUGGCGGCUGUUCGCCUUCGGCUCGUAAGCGCAGCACAGUCGGCGCCCGGAGCUCUGGUGGGAUGGCGUCCAGCAAGCUAUAUUUUCAGGCUUGACCUCGGAUCAGGUAGGGAUACCCGCUGAACUUAAGC